rnacentral:rRNA from 11 species
GUGGUCUGUCUAAAUACCCUAAAGGCACCAGAUCCCCUCGAAUCUUGGAAGCCAAGUAGGAUCAGCCCUGGUUAUAAUGCUUGGAUGGGAGAGUGCCAAUGGAUACCAGGUGCUGAAAGCU